GCCGGGAUGGUGAAACUGGUAGACGCGCUGGACUCAAAAUCCAGUGGGAGCAAUCCCUUGCGGGUUCGAGUCCCGCUCCCGGCA
rnacentral:tRNA from 1 species